CUAUUUUCAAUUGCGUGAGAGGAGGAGUGUAGGAAUUUGAACUCUGAACCACCAACACACCUCCAUUUCAAAACCCUACUCCUCCCAAUUCUCUCUCACGUCAAUGUCGCCGGCGGCGAUACACCUCCAAUCUCCGAUCAACUCCUCCACCGACACAACCUCGCAUCCCUCUUUCAAUGCCGACGUCUUAAACCCUUCCACCGCCCGCGGGAGGUCGAGGCCCCGGCUCGUCAAGCUGAGGAAACAGUCGGCCAGGUCCAGGGGCAGAACAACCCCCGCCGGAGAAGAAUCUUCCGCAUCCUCCUCCGGCUUCAACCCUUUUCGCUCCGAUCAGGUAACUGGUAGCUUUAGCAGAGCAGAGAGUGGCGAUGGAGCUAACGAUGGCGGUUGUGGUUCCGAGAACCCGAACCGUCAUCGUGGCUUUGGGAGAGAGGGUUUUGUGUUUACUGCUAGGAACCGCGAUUCUGGUUCUGCUAGGGAUUUGAAUUCCGAGCAGGGCUCGGGUGAGGAAGAAUCGGAGUGUAGGAAAGGUGAGAGUGUGGAAUUUGUGUUUUGUGCUAAACGGAGCGACGUGGAAUCGGUUUCGCCUCGUGAGGGAGGGGAAAAGAGUAGUGAAAGGGAAGAACAUGGGGAGUUUGAUUCUGCAGGAUUCGUUUUUAGUGCUGGUGGAAGCAAUUUGGCUUCGAGUUCGAACGUAGAAAUGGGGAAAACUAGUCUAGGUGUGGGGAAUUCCGGACUUGUUGAUGAUGAUGAGGAGAGGGGAAGUAAGGAUGAAGUUGCAGGCGACAAGAAUGGUAGCAGUAAAACGUCGAGUGUUAAUAUGAAACAGCAGGAGUCUGUUGAUGGCCUGAGAAACUCGACCCAUGGAGUUGGUGUUUUUAGUACCACGGUGGAAACAAAUCCUAAUUGUGAUAAAGAUGCUGAUCAGUGUGAUGAUGAUAAGUGUAAGAGUGCAUUUGAAAGCAUUUCUGCUAUUUCUGCUCUUUAUAGUGAUGAUAUUCCUGCAGAUAAGAUAACAGAUGAGAUGAAGAAAUUGAACAUCAACCAUUCUGAGGGUGUUGAUACCACGAGAGAUUCAAUGAAUUCAUUUGUAAAUAGUAGCGCUAGUUUUGUGUUUGGAGGAAGUGACAAGGUUUUUGGCUGUGUUAGUGAUAGUUCAGGAGUUAAUCUUGAUGGUACUGAUGCUGAUUUGGAUAAUAUUGGAGGGAAACAUGUCAAAGCAUGCAGAGAAAAUGACGUUCAAAAUGAAAUUGGUUGCGGUUCUGCAGGAAUACCUUGCACUGAGCCAUCCACUAGUCAGGAAGGUGCCAGAGAUUUCCAGGGUGGCAAAAUUCCAGAAUGUUGUGUGUCUGAAGAAUCACAAGUGAAUGGAGCUGCAGCACCAUUUACCUGCUCGUCAUGCGGUCUCGAUUCCCAUCCAAAUUAUGCUUCUAUGGGCCAUUCAUCCAGUGCAGAUAAUGAGAAGUGCAAUAAUUGUUUUGCAAGUAGUGAAGAGGCAUCCAAAGAGUCUUUUACGGACUUUAAACCCCCAACAUGGGAUCCUUCUUGUUUUAGAGAAAACUUGUUUCCAAAGUUAAAUAAAAAGUUAGAAUCGACACCAAAGAGCAGAUUUUCUAAAGGAAAAGGAUCAAAAUGUUUGGGGCGAAAAUUGAAGCCACAUUCCUUGAAUAAGAAACAGACAGAUCAUUUGUCAAAGGAAAGCAGUCCGCUCCAAACCCCUGGUUCUUCUGGUAGCCUCUCACCCAUGGAUUUUUCUCCUUAUCAGGAAAUAGCAGCAGAUGAUCAAGAUGUAAAAGCUGCAGAAGAAUUAAAUGAUCUGCACUCAAAAAUUUCUACUGAUAAUAAAAAGGAACACCUGGAAACUCUAGGAAGAGAAGGUAAUAAUACAACUGCUCAAAGAUGUGGAGAUUUAGAUAGUGGCAAGUCAUCUAAUGGAAGUUCUGCUGGUGGUGAUGCUCAAUAUUCUGGGCCUGAAAUGGUCUGGCCUAAUAUGAAAACUGAGCAGUUCAGCAGUAGCAGCACAUGUGGUGCUUUGGCAGAUGCUGGGUUUGACUUCACCUUAAACUCUGAUAAACAAAAGCCUGGUGGACUUUGUUUUGUUCAUGGUCCAAGUGAUUCGAAGAAGAAAGAUUUUACAUUUUCCGCAUCAUCAACAGUAGAGGGUACUUCAUCAUCGUUUAAGCGUAAACAAAAGAAGAAAUUUAGGAGGAAAGUAGGGUGUGACUCAUUUGUUAUCUCGCCCAACUUGAAUGGGAAGUUUGCUUCUUCUGUACAAUCUUCACCUCUUAUCACUGCCAACAUCUCAUCACAUUCUGAUGUGAUGGAUAGGUCUCAAAUAAAUGACCAGUUCGAGGAAAGGGGUGGUGCUGGUGCAUCGUCAGCUACAAUUGAAGAAGCCUGUUACAAAUGGAGACUUAGGGGGAACCAUGCCCAUAAAGAUGGGGAUCUUUCUAAAGCUGAGGCCUUCUAUACACAAGGAAUAAAUUCUGUUCCGUCAUGCGAAAGAUCAGGAUGCUGCCUUAAGCCUCUUUUACUGUGCUAUAGUAACCGUGCAGCAACACGCAUGAGCCUUGGAAGAAUUAGAGAAGCUCUGGAGGAUUGCAUGAUGGUUACUUCUCUGGACCCCACCUUUGUGAAAAUACAGCUGAGAACCGCUAACUGUCACCUUUUGCUAGGGGAAAUUGAAAAUGCUCUGCAGUGUUAUAAUAAGUGCUUGGAAUCGGGAAAUGUUGUUUGUUUGGAUCGGAGGGUUAUAGUUGAAGCAGCUGAAGGUUUACAGAAGGCUCAGGAAGUGGUUAAGUGUAUGAAUGACGCUGCUGAGCGUUUGAAGGAUAGGAACUCUAAUGCAACUGGUUCUGCUUUAAAACUACUUACAAAGGCAUUGUCUAUAAGUUUAUACUCAGAAAAGUUGCUCCAAAUGAAGGCAGAAGCUUUAUAUUUGCUGCAAAAGUAUGAAGAUGCAAUUCAGCUUUGUGAACAGAGUCAAUGCCUUGCAGAAAAGAAUCUUGCCUUGGCAAACAGUGCAAACAAAUUGAAUGGUUCCAUGUUUGAUAGUUACUCAAGUGUAAAAUUGUGGAGGUGGUCAUUGAUAUCCAAGUGUUACUUUCAUUUGGGAAAGCUUGAGGCAUCACUGAAUGUUCUUGAUAAAUUACAGCAAGUAGCUACUGUCAAUGACAAAUGUUCGGUUGAUAACGUGGAAGACUUGCUGUCAUUAGCUGCCACAAUACGAGAACUGCAAGCCCUCAAGAGUGCAGGAAAUGAAAACUUUAAGUUGGGAAAGUAUACGGAAGCAGUGGAGAAUUACACUGUUGCUUUAUCUAGUAAUGUCAAAUCACGUCCUUUCACAGCAAUAUGUUUCUGCAACCGUGCUGCUGCUUAUCAAGCUUUGGGCCAAAUUACUGAUGCCAUUGCAGACUGCAGCAUGGCUAUGGCCCUCAAUGGAAAUUAUGCAAAGGCAAUUUCAAGAAGAGCCUCAUUACAUGUAAUGGUCAGAGAUUACGAACAAGCAGCUUGUGACUUCAGGAGCCUUAUAUCUGUUCUUGAAACUCAAUCCAAUGAAAAGGCCAAACAGUCUAACUCUCCAAGUGGAUCAAAUGGUGGGAAAGAAUCAAGGCAAGCUCAUCAACGUCUGCUCUCAGUGGAAGAACAAGCCAAGAAGGGGACUGCCUUGGACUUUUACCUCAUCUUAGGAAUUAAACCAGAUGAUACAGCAUCUGAUAUCAAGAAGGCAUACCACAAGGCAGCUCUCAGACAUCAUCCAGAUAAGGCUGGUCAGUUGUUGGCAAGAAGUGAAGUUGGAGAUGAAGGCCGAGUGUGGAAGGAAAUUUCACAGGAGGUUCACAAGGACGCGGAUAGACUUUUCAAAAUGAUUGGAGAGGCAUAUGCUGUGCUUUCAGACCCUGCCAAGCGCUCGGAGUAUGAUCUAGAUGAGGAGAUAAGAAAAGCAUCUGAGCAAGUUAAUAGAGGUGGCACAUGCAGGAGAUCACCAGACGUUUUUAGGAAUGGAAGACAAUCUGAGGGUUAUAAAUCUCCCUUCGACAAAACUUAUUACAGACGAUAUGGACAGGAUCAUUGGAGGACAUAUGGACAGUCAUAUUCUCGAUGGUAAGAGGAUACUCAGACAAGGGCAUCGAUGUUCCUAUGCCUGGCCUUCUUAUUUUUUAUGGACCCAAGCUUCAUGGUGGUGUUGGAUAAGAGGCUUAAAAUUGCUUUUGCAGGCCAUAACUGCUUUAUUCUUUUGGUCUGAUUCAGACCAUUAAUCAAAAUAAGAUUGUACGUCGAUACAGCAAGCGUGAGCUAUAGUGGUGUUUAGCUUCAAAUAGCCAAGAACUAAAGGUUUAUCAAUGAGGCAAGAACAGGCUCCGCCAACUGUCAGAUACGUGCUUCACUAACUUAAAUGAUAGCAAGGCAUUGAUGCUAUACACCUACCUGCCCUUUAUCCAUUGCUUGUUGCUGGAAGAGUUUUUCACAUAGGGAAGUGGGUUAUUUAUAGAGUCCAGCAAGGACUAAGGGGCCAAUGUAGUUUGGCCUCAUUAUUUUGUCAAUUUCCACAAUGUUGUUUUAGUUAUCAUGUAUCAAUGUUCUGGAUUGAGAACCUCAACAGGAAGCAUGUAGUGAAUGGGUUUCUACUUUCUAAAGAAUGCCAUCAAAUAUUGUUUGUUUGUCUGCCAGUAUCCAAGCCAUAUCAUGAAUGGGGAAAAUAUUAAUUAAAUAUUGUUUAGUA